UACGAAGGGGGCUAGCGUUGCUCGGAAUCACUGGGCGUAAAGCGCACGUAGGCGGAUUGUUAAGUCAGGGGUGAAAUCCUGGAGCUCAACUCCAGAACUGCCUUGAUACUGGCGAUCUCGAGUUCGGGAGAGGUGAGUGGAACUGCGAGUGUAGAGGUGAAAUUCGUAGAUAUUCGCAAGAACACCAGUGGCGAAGGCGGCUCACUGGCCCGAUACUGACGCUGAGGUGCGAAAGCGUGGGAGCAAACAG
rnacentral:rRNA from 1 species